GAGUUUGAUCCUGGCUCAGGAUGAACGCUAGCGGCAGGCUUAAUACAUGCAAGUCGAGGGGCAUCAGCUUAUAGCAAUAUAGGGCUGGCGACCGGCAAACGGGUGCGGAACACGUACACAACCUUCCUUUAAGAGGGGGAUAGCCCAUAGAAAUGUGGAUUAAUACCCCGUAAGAUAGUGGGAUGGCAUCAUACUACUAUUAUAGUUACGACGCUUGAAGAUGGGUGUGCGUCUGAUUAGGUAGUUGGCGGGUAAAGGCCCACCAAGCCUUCGAUCAGUAGCUGAUGUGAGAGCAUGAUCAGCCACACGGGCACUGAGACACGGGCCCGACUCCUACGGGAGGCAGCAGUAAGGAAUAUUGGUCAAUGGACGCAAGUCUGAACCAGCCAUGCCGCGUGAAGGAUGAAGGUCCUCUGGAUUGUAAACUUCUUUUAUAGGGGGCGAAAAAGGGAAAUCUUCUCACUUGACAGUACCCUAUGAAUAAGCACCGGCUAACUCCGUGCCAGCA
rnacentral:rRNA from 1 species